rnacentral:rRNA from 1 species
AAUACAACAUAAUGCCGGGAGGGGACAUCCCCUGCCGGCCAAAGGGGGCGACCCCGGUCACGGAUGGGCAUGCGGCGCAUUAGGUAGUUGGUGGGGCAACGGCCCACCAAGCCGACGAUGCGUAGGGGUUCUGAGAGGAAGGUCCCCCACAUUGGAACUGAGACACGGUCCAAACUCCUACGGGAGGCAGCAGUGAGGAAUAUUGGUCAAUGGCCGGAAGGCUGAACCAGCCAAGUCGCGUGAGGGAAUAAGGCCCUACGGGUCGUAAACCUCUUUUGCCAGGGAGCAAUGCCGUCCACGUGUGGACGGAAGGAGAGUACCUGGAGAAAAAGCAUCGGCUAACUCCGUGCCAGCAGCCGCGGUAAUACGGAGGAUGCGAGCGUUAUCCGGAUUUAUUGGGUUUAAAGGGUGCGUAGGCGGCCUGCCAAGUCAGCGGUAAGAUUGCGGGGCUCAACCCCGUACAGCCGUUGAAACUGCCGGGCUCGAGUGGGCGAGAAGUAUGCGGAAUGCGUGGUGUAGCGGUGAAAUGCAUAGAUAUCACGCAGAACCCCGAUUGCGAAGGCAGCAUACCGGCGCCCGACUGACGCUGAGGCACGAAAGUGCGGGGAUCAAACAGGAUUAGAUACCCUGGUAGUCCGCACAGUAAACGAUGAAUGCUAGCUGUCCGGGGGGAUUGACCCCUGGGUGCACAGC